rnacentral:rRNA from 1 species
AGCAGCCGCGGUAAUUCCAGCUCCAAUAGCGUAUAUUAAAGUUGUUGCAGUUAAAAAGCUCGUAGUUGAAUUUCGGGGUCAGUAGGUUGGUCGUGCCACUGGUAUGCACUGGUCUCACUGAUUCCUCCUUCCUGAUGAACCGUAAUGCCAUUAAUUUGGUGUUGCGGGGAAUCUGGACUGUUACUUUGAAAAAUUAGAGUGUUUAAAGCAGGCUAACGCUUGAAUACAUUAGCAUGGAAUAAUGAAAUAGGACGAUCGAUCCUACUUUGUUGGUUUCUAGGAUUGACGUAAUGAUUAAUAGGGAUAGUUGGGGGCAUUAGUAUUCAAUUGUCAGAGGUGAAAUUCUUGGAUUUAUUGAAGACUAACUACUGCGAAAGCAUUUGCCAAGGAUGUUUUCAUUAAUCAAGAACGAAAGUUAGGGGAUCGAAGACGAUCAGAUACCGUCGUAGUCUUAACCAUAAACUAUGCCGACUAGGGAUCGGAUGAUGUUAAUUUUUAAUGUA